AACGAACGCUGGCGGCAUGCCUAACACAUGCAAGUCGAACGAGACCUUCGGGUCUAGUGGCGCACGGGUGCGUAACGCGUGGGAACCUGCCCUUAGGUUCGGAAUAACUCCCCGAAAGGGGUGCUAAUACCGGAUAAUGUCUUCGGACCAAAGAUUUAUCGCCUUUGGAUGGGCCCGCGUUGGAUUAGCUAGUUGGUAGGGUAAAAGCCUACCAAGGCGACGAUCCAUAGCUGGUCUGAGAGGAUGAUCAGCCACACUGGGACUGAGACACGGCCCAGACUCCUAGGGGGGGCAGCAGUGGGGAAUAUUGGAAAAUGGGCGAAAGCCUGAUCCAGCAAGGCCGGGGGAGUGAUGAAGGCCUUAGGGUUGUAAAGCUUUUUUACCCGGGAUGAUAAUGACAGUACCGGGAGAAUAAGCCCCGGCUAACCCCGU
rnacentral:rRNA from 1 species